CUUUCCGGUGGCAGCGUCUGGGGAAAGGGCGGUAGGCGCCAUGUCCGGCCGCGAAGGUGGCAAGAAGAAGCCACUGAAACAGCCCAAGAAGCAGGCCAAGGAGAUGGACGAGGUGAGGGCGGGCGCGGAGGCACGGGCGGGUGCGGGGGCGCUGGGAGACAGGCCUGAGUUGAACACGCUCUGCCUCUCCCCAGGAAGAUAAGGCUUUCAAGCAGAAACAAAAAGAGGAGCAGAAGAAACUCGAGGAGCUAAAAGCGAAGGCGGCGGGGAAAGGGCCCUUGGGUAAGUGGGGGCCAAAUGGAGCUCAAACCGGCCAAACGCUAUGAGCACCUGUUGGGAUGAGGGCGCGGGCAUGUCUUUUUUCUGCCUCCUGAACUGCGAGGUCUCGUUUUCCGACGUCCGCUGCAGCGGAUGGUCUCUAGCCAGUCUCGGAUUUGCAGCAGCAGUAAGGGCCGGGAGCCGGAAACGAGGUCUCCUGCCUCCCAGGCAGUCUGGGCUUCCAUUCCUUAGGAAGAGCUGCAGAAACGGAAACAUUGAAAUGUAUUUACCUCAGACGCAGAUUCAUAUUGUUUCUCAAAGUCUUUCGUCUUCUGCAAUCUUUUGCCCCAAAUUCGUAUUUCACUGCCUUCUAGUGUUUGAACCUUACUUGACUUAGAAGUUGUUUUGUUUUGUUUUUUUG
rnacentral:sRNA from 1 species